rnacentral:rRNA from 1 species
CUAGUUGCACGAGUUAAGACUCGUAGCAGAUAGCUCAGUAACACGUGGCCAAACUACCCUAUGGAUCCGAAUAACCUCGGGAAACUGAGGCUAAUUGGGAAUAGCGUUCAUCGCCUGGAGUGGCACGAACGCGAAACGUUACGGCGCCAUAGGAUGUGGCUGCGGCCGAUUAGGUAGACGGUGGGGUAACGGCCCACCGUGCCCAUAAUCGGUACGGGUUGUGAGAGCAAGAGCCCGGAGACGGUAUCUGAGACAAGAUACCGGGCCCUACGGGGCGCAGCAGGCGCGAAACCUUUACACUGCACGCGAGUGCGAUAAGGGGACUCCGAGUGCGAGGGCAUAUAGGCCUCGCUUUUCACGACCGUAAGGUGGUCGUAGAAUAAGUGCUGGGCAAGACCGGUGCCAGCCGCCGCGGUAAUACCGGCAGCACGAGUGAUGACCGCUAUUAUUGGGCCUAAAGCGUCCGUAGCUGGCCACGCAAGUCUAUCGGGAAAUCCGCGCGCUUAACGCGCGGGCGUCCGGUGGAAACUGCGUGGCUUGGGACCGGAAGACCAGAGGGGUACGUCCGGGGUAGGAGUGAAAUCCCGUAAUCCUGGACGGACCACCGGUGGCGAAAGCGCCUCUGGAAGACGGAUCCGACGGUGAGGGACGAAAGCUCGGGUCACGAACCGGAUUAGAUACCCGGGUAGUCCGAGCUGUAAACGAUGUCUGCUAGGUGUGGCACAGGCUACGAGCCUGUGCUGUGCCGUAGGGAAGCCGUGAAGCAGAC